CCUACGGGAGGCUGCAGUGGGGAAUAUUGCACAAUGGGGGAAACCCUGAUGCAGCGACGCCGCGUGGGUGACGAAGUAUUUCGGUAUGUAAAGCCCUAUCAGCAGGGAAGAAGAUGACAGUACCUGACCAAGAAGCCCCGGCUAACUACGUGCCAGCAGCCGCGGUAAUACGUAGGGGGCAAGCGUUAUCCGGAUUUACUGGGUGUAAAGGGAGCGUAGGUGGCAUGGCAAGCCAGAAGUGAAAACCCGGGGCUUAACCCCGCGGAUUGCUUUUGGAACUGUCAGGCUGGAGUGCAGGAGGGGCAGGCGGAAUUCCUGGUGUAGCGGUGAAAUGCGUAGAUAUCAGGAGGAACACCGGUGGCGAAGGCGGCCUGCUGGACUGUAACUGACACUGAGGCUCGAAAGCGUGGGGAGCAAACAGGAUUAGAUACCCUAGUAGUC
rnacentral:rRNA from 1 species